rnacentral:lncRNA from 1 species
AUGUAUAUCUGUGUGUAUAUGUUUAUAUAUGUAUGUAUAGAUUUACAUUUUUUUAACUUUAAGGGGCCUCACCUCCUGUGCCCUCUGAGGUCUUCGUCGGAGGAACAAGAAAAGGCGUCUGUUAUGCUCCUGUGCGAGGUGCCUCUCUGCAAGGCCUGUCCUUCACUCAGCAAAGCAAAAAGCCCUAAACGGCCAACCGGAGGGGACAGUGAAACAAAUGAUGGGGUGCCGUCCUGCAAAGCCUCUUUGGAAAGGAUGAGGUGGGUCCGUGUGUCCACGGGAGCAGGUAACCCCUUGGGCAUAGUUGGUCCUGUUUUAGCUCCAGUGGCAGCUGUCUGUGGUCUUGCUGCGAAGUUCUUCAGUGAUGAUCAGUCCGUCCUCGGGGGCCAGGCUGGAAGCCUGGGAACGGGAGCCCUGCCCUGCUGCCCAGGAACCACCAUGUGA